rnacentral:rRNA from 1 species
GACGAACGCUAGCGGCGUGCUUAACACAUGCAAGUCGAACGGUGAACCUCUUCGGAGGGGAUCAGUGGCGAACGGGUGAGUAACACGUGGGCAACCUGCCCCCGGCUCUGGGAUAACUCCAAGAAAUUGGGGCUAAUACCGGAUGUUCACCGCUUCCCGCAUGGGUGGUGGUGGAAAGGGUUUCCGGCUGGGGAUGGGCCCGCGGCCUAUCAGCUUGUUGGUGGGGUAGUGGCCUACCAAGGCGACGACGGGUAGCCGGCCUGAGAGGGUGACCGGCCACACUGGGACUGAGACACGGCCCAGACUCCUACGGGAGGCAGCAGUGGGGAAUAUUGCGCAAUGGGCGGAAGCCUGACGCAGCGACGCCGCGUGGGGGAUGACGGCCUUCGGGUUGUAAACCUCUUUCAGCAGGGACGAAGCGCAAGUGACGGUACCUGCAGAAGAAGCACCGGCCAACUACGUG